UCCCUGCCGCCGGCGCUUUCUCUUAACAACUUCGAAUAAAUAAACGCGGCAGAGCGACGACGGGCACGGAUGCCGAGGCGCUGCUCUAAGUCGGGCUACCUCGUGCAGUCUGGGAACUGGUAGCCCAUUUUGCAGCGUUUCCUCCCAGGAGCAGCCCAAGCUCGUUAACGAUCUCCCGGCUUAUGUUCCUCCUCCCUUGUGACAACCAGAACUGUCGCUGGGGGCAGAAGUGCAUCUGUUGAGAACCACAGCCUCAUGAACCUGUUAAAAACAAAUGGAAUCUCCUUGCUCCCUGCUGAAAUCCUCUAGGGCUCCCCGUUUUUCCAGAGUAAAGUCCAAACCUCCUGAACCUCUGAGUAAGGCAUCAAGCUCUUGACUGCCACAGGCUACAAAGGCAUAUGCUUCCCUCUGCCUGUCAUUCUCUUGCCAGGUGAACUCCCAGAGUCACCUUUCUGUUCAGCUCCAGGUACUUGCUCUGGGAAGCCUUCCUCGCCCCUCCAUCCCAGGUCGGGCCCCUUCGUCUUAUCCUCCUGGUAGCACUUGUCACAGUUUGCAAUUUCAUUAACAUGAUGCCUAACUUUGCAUCUGACUCUUCCAUAGACUCUAGUGAGGAGAGUGUGAGCUCUCAGAGGGCAACAACCAGGUUGGUGCUGCAUAUUCACGUGGGUAGUGCGGUCUGGGGGUGAGAGCAGCAGCUGGACAGCCUGACCCCUGGGUUCUUGCUCUGGACAGCCCAGGUUAGAACCCCAGCUCUUCCGCUCUUGACUUUGGGCAAAUAGCUACUCCCUCUGAGCCUCAGUUUCCUCAUUUGUCAAAUGAGGCUGGUCACUCAAACUUCUUCACCAGGUGGUAGUGAGAGUUAAAGGGUUAAAGGCAUAUGU